CCUACGGGAGGCUGCAGUAGGGAAUAUUGCUCAAUGGGGGAAACCCUGAUGCAGCAACGCCGCGUGAAUGAUGAAGGUCUUCGGAUUGUAAAGUACUUUUCUAAGGGAAGAAGAAAGUGACGGUACCUUAGGAAUAAGCCUCGGCUAACUACGUGCCAGCAGCCGCGGUAAUACGUAGGAGGCGAGCGUUAACCGGAAUGACUGGGCGGAAAGGGUGCGUAGGUGGUUUGGCAAGUUAGUAGCGUAACUCCAAGGCUCAACCUUGGAACUACUACUAAAACUGUUGGACUUGAGUGCAGGAGGGGCAACCGGAAUUCCUAGUGUAGCGGUGGAAUGCGUAGAUAUUAGGAGGAAUACCAGUGGCGAAGGCGGGUUGCUAGACUGUAACUGACACUGAGGUACGAAAGCGUGGGGAGCAAACAGGAUUAGAUACCCGAGUAGUC
rnacentral:rRNA from 1 species